AUUGAACGCUGGCGGCAGGCCUAACACAUGCAAGUCGAGCGAGCGGCGGACGGGUGAGUAAUGUAUGGGGACUGCCCGAUCGAGGGGGAUAACGACUGGAAACGGUGGCUAAUCACCCAUACUGUCGGAUAACCCAUAUGGGAUUAGCUAGUAGGUAAGGUAAUGGCUUCCCUAGGCGACGAUCCCUAGCUGGUCUGAGAGGAUUAUCAGCCACACUGGGACUGAGACACGGCCCAGACUCCUACGGAGGCAGCAGUGGGGAAUAUUUCACAAUGGGCGCAAGCCUGAUGCAGCCAUGCCGCGUGUAUGAAGAAGGCCCUAGGGUUGUAAAGUACUUUCAGUCGGGAGGCGUUACCGACAGAAGAAGCACCGGCUAACUCCGUGCCAGCCGCCGCGGUAAUAC
rnacentral:rRNA from 1 species